AGGGUGCGCACUGUUGUUAGUUAGUGCUGUGUAUACAGUGAGGAUGUCAGUGUUUGUGUACACACAGUGUGUAUACAGGAUGCGCACUGUUGUUAGUUAGUGCUGUGUAUACAGUGAGGAUGUCAGUCCCCUCCUUGCUGUGCUCUCUCCUCCCUCCAUAGGGCAGUAUUAGCCAUCUCUCUCUCUCUAUAUCAGACACAGGAUCUGCUUUUCGCAGCCGCCGCCUUGCCGUCAGCUUGCCCGGAGCCUGCUCUCCGCUACCCUUCAGCAGCCAUGACCGAACAGGGCAGCAGCAGCAGCAGCAGCCGAUAUCAGCAGGUAGGAAA
rnacentral:lncRNA from 1 species